rnacentral:rRNA from 1 species
UACGGCGGGUGCAAGCGUUAUCCGGAUUCACUGGGUUUAAAGGGUGUGUAGGUGGGUUGGUAAGUCAGUGGUGAAAUCUCCGGGCUUAACCCGGAAACUGCCAUUGAUACUAUCAGUCUUGAAUACCGUGGAGGUUAGCGGAAUAUGUCAUGUAGCGGUGAAAUGCUGAGAUAUGACGUAGAACACCAAUUGCGAAGGCAGCUGGCUACACGAAUAUUGACACUGAUGCACGAAAGCGUGGGGAUCAAACAGG